CCGUUGCUAAUUAACCGAUUUCAGACUAAAGACUUGUUCAAUUCGUGCCGCAGGCGAAUUUCUCAUUCCGGACCGGCAAAAUCGAAGAAAUAUAUGGCCGUAAUCUGGAAAGAGCAAUGAUUGAGAGAUACCGAAAAUGGAGCAGUGGAUUCGAGAGAAUUAAAGGAUUUUCGUUGAUUUGUCUAACGAUUUCAAUCUCGUUAAGGAUUUUAGUUGAUUUAUAUCCAGGAUAGCCAAGAACAUAAGAACUGAUGUGCCGGAAGGGAAGAGAGCUAAGGCAUCUGCUACUGCAAAGACAAUGAAUGAAUUGUUGUUCAAAAGAAUGGGAAGGCCAUUGACGGUGUCUCUCUUAGCAUCAUUGUAGUUGCCACCGGGUACAGUAAAAGCUGCAGCAAAUGCUACUAUAGAGAUAAGGGUUGCUACCAACAUACAUGAAUGUGAGGUACCUCUCAUCCAUUUUUCUCCCUUCAUCACUAAAUCCUUGUGUUUCUCUGUAAAUAUACCUUGAGCAGUGAUCCCAGCUUUGUUUCUCACUAGCCUGUGUCUCUCCAGUAAAAUAGAUUUCACCGCCUGAUUGAAAUAAUAGAGACAAAGUAAGGACGAAUAAACCAGCAGACUUAAGUAAUAAGUAAUAAGACUGAUUAACUUAUUAGAAAGCCUUGAAACUCCUCUUGCUUUAGGUACUGAACUACAGAUAUUUAGAUUAUGGAAAACCUGUUCCUUAGAUGGUCAUAUCGUUGUUUACCUUAAACCACUGUGCUUCUCGUUGCAUCUGAAGAGCUGCACCAGAGACUGAAUUUAGUUGGUGAGAAGGUGCGAUAUCAGCAGCAUAAUGCAAGAUAGUGUUACCUUUAUCAUCAGUUCUGGAAUUCAAUUCAUCCAUGUCUUCCUCACUCUUUUUGCAUAUUAAAUUAAAAAUGUUAUCAUUUCUUUCUGCAAUAGCAAUUUGUACCAUUGUUUGUCCCUCCAUUUCAGACUAGAGGAGGUAAGGAAAUUUUUCAAGACACUGUACAAUGACUUCCGUUGUCCCUAUGUUAUUGCUGUCUUCAUGAGGCUAGAAUUUUUGAAAAAAUCUGUAACGCCUGACUUGUUCAUAGUAACAUCUAUUUGUGCUAACA